CCUACGGGAGGCAGCAGUGAGGAAUAUUGGUCAAUGGGCGCGAGCCUGAACCAGCCAAGUAGCGUGAAGGAUGACUGCCCUAUGGGUUGUAAACUUCUUUUAUAAGGGAAUAAAGUGUUCCACGUGUGCCUUUUUGUAUGUACUUUAUGAAUAAGGAUCGGCUAACUCCGUGCCAGCAGCCGCGGUAAUACGGAGGAUCCGAGCGUUAUCCGGAGUGAUUGGGUGUAAAGAGGUGCGUGGGGGGGAUUGUAAGUAGCUAGGGAAAUGUGGUGGGUCAACCAUUCAGACUAUUGGCGAAACUGGCAAGCUCGAGAACGUUAGGGGUAACUGGAAUUUCUGGUGUAGGAGUGAAAUCCGUAGAUAUUAGAAAGAACUCCAAUAGCGUAGGCAGGUUGCUGGAACGGUACUGACACUAAGGCACGAAAGCGUAGGGAGCAAACGGGAUUAGAUACCCGAGUAGUC
rnacentral:rRNA from 1 species